rnacentral:rRNA from 1 species
AUACGGAGGGGGCUAGCGUUGUUCGGAAUUACUGGGCGUAAAGCGCACGUAGGCGGCUUUGUAAGUCAGAGGUGAAAGCCUGGAGCUCAACUCCAGAACUGCCUUUGAGACUGCAUCGCUUGAAUCCAGGAGAGGUCAGUGGAAUUCCGAGUGUAGAGGUGAAAUUCGUAGAUAUUCGGAAGAACACCAGUGGCGAAGGCGGCUGACUGGACUGGUAUUGACGCUGAGGUGCGAAAGCGUGGGGAGCAAACAGGAUUAGAUACCCUAGUAGUCC